GCUUACGGCCACACCACCCUGAGCGCCGCCCGAUCUCGUCUGAUCUCGGAAGCUAAGCAGGGUCGGGCCUGGUUAGUACUUGGAUGGGAGACCGCCUGGGAAUACCAGGUGCCGUAAGCU
rnacentral:rRNA from 1 species